GAUGAACGCUGGCGGCGUGCUUAACACAUGCAAGUCGAACGAUGAAGCCCAGCUUGCUGGGCGGAUUAGUGGCGAACGGGUGAGUAACACGUGAGUAACCUGCCCUUGACUCUGGGAUAAGCCCGGGAAACUGGGUCUAAUACCGGAUAGGAGCGCCUGUCGCAUGACGGGUGCUGGAAAGAUCUUUCGGUCAUGGAUGGACUCGAGGCCUAUCAGCUUGUUGGUGAGGUAACGGCUCACCAAGGCGACGGCGGGUAGCCGGCCUGAGAGGGUGACCGGCCACCCUGGGCCUGCGGCACGGCCCAGACCCCUACGGGAGGCAGCAGUGGGGAAUCUUGCGCAACGGGCGCACGCCUGAUGCAGCGACGCCGCGUGCGGGAUGACGGCCUUCUGGUUGUAAACCUCUUUCAGCAGGGAAGAAGCGAAAGUGACGGUACCUGCAGAAGAAGCCCCGGCUAACUACGUG
rnacentral:rRNA from 1 species